AAGUCGUAACAAGGUUUCCGUAGGUGAACCUGCGGAAGGAUCAUUAACACAUCCUUUUCAAUAUCAAUCAUGGUGCACAGUUUGAGCUUACUCGGGAAAUGGUCGGAAUAGCAAUGGUUUGAUACUCUUCGGGGUAUGGCUAUCCGGAUAGUCGCACACGGUUCUUCGGAGCUGGAGAGGCGCCACAUUUACUCUUGUAGGUAUACAGUCUCUAACCUGGCUGGCCCCUUUUUUUAAACCUCUUGAUUUUUGUACUGAUUUGGCACGGGUUGAGAAGGGUUGGACUCCUCGUGAGUUCGUCUCUUUUCUCUGAGCCUGAUGGAGAAAUCCAUUAAAUUAAUCAAAACACAACUCUUAACAGCAGAUAUCUCGGUUCUC
rnacentral:misc_RNA from 1 species